UACGAAGGGGGCGAGCGUUGUUCGGAUUUACUGGGCGUAAAGCGCGCGCAGGCGGUUUCUUAAGUCUGAUGUGAAAGCCCACGGCUCAACCGUGGAGGGUCAUUGGAAACUGGGGAACUUGAGUGCAGAAGAGAAAAGCGGAAUUCCACGUGUAGCGGUGAAAUGCGUAGAGAUGUGGAGGAACACCAGUGGCGAAGGCGGCUUUUUGGUCUGUAACUGACGCUGAGGCGCGAAAGCGUGGGGAGCAAACAGG
rnacentral:rRNA from 1 species